ACACAUGCAUACACACGUAAAAAAGACUAUUCUUAAAUCAACCAUAAUAUACUCAUACAUAAGCAAAAGUAUUAUAAUCUUAUUUCAAAGAUAUU